UCUUUUCUGAUCCUGCAGAAUGGAAAACGGCACUCUGCCUUUCAUCUGGCUCUGCCUGGAAAUAUGGAAGGUAAAAUAAGAAGGGCACACAUGAUUCCACCCUGAAGAGUUUGGUAACCUCGAGGAGUUAGAAAGCCUGAUCAGUGACGAUAUCCAUGCCACAACCUGAUGUUGCAGGGAAAUUACAUUUUCUAGGCCUUCAUCAAUCUCUCUCCAAAGAGCUGGGGCAAUCAUAUCUCUGUCACAUUUCUGCUUUGACACAGAGGAUAAAAAUGAAUGGACAGUAUUAGUGUCUUCCUCCCCCAGAGCUCAUCAAAGUAGACCAGUCUGGCAUGGACUCAGCGUCAGUGGGCUCAAGAAAGGAAGUGAAGAAGUCCCAUGGCAGGGAUAUCACCGGUUUCUCAGACCACCAAGACAAGCUUCAAGUGUUUGGACAGCAGAACUAGAGUCUUCCUGCAAGACUCCUAACACCUGAGUUUCCAGAGUGCUGCCAAACAUCACACAGAACAGGCAAAUGUGUUCCUGAUGGAUCCACAUGAACCAAUGCAGAAAUCAAUGGCUCCAUGGUACUUUGAGGUGCUGACACUUUCUUCUCUUUCAUAUCAUGGCAUAAACUGAAGGAAUUUGCUGUUGUGCCAGUCAGUGGAGCGAUCAGGGAAGGCAGUUUAAACUAAACUCUAACAAUAUAGGUAUUAAUAUUAGUCUUAUUUUAUUAUAAUAUUGUAUUAUAUAACAUCCUACUGUGUUUCUUAAGAAGAUACUUUGAUAGUUUCUCUACACUGAUCUGAAGAUGACAUAGCUGUUCCAUUAUACACCUAGACACUGGGUGUUAAGAGAAGAGCUCUGCUCUGAAAAGCCAUACCUAUCAAUACUCUUCAUUAUUUUUUCUAUUUUGUGACCUUCUUUCCAAUUUUGUGAUCACCUCAACAUACAUUUUGAUGGAGUGAAAAUACAUUUUGCUGGAGUGCAAGUAAUUUCCUUUCUCUCUUUAAAGCUAGUCUGGCAAUAGAGAGGAUAUGGAUGGACACUGGGUGAUUUGUUUGACCUGGUUACAGCCGGAGGUGUACAGCCUUCUGGUGUCCA
rnacentral:lncRNA from 1 species